rnacentral:miRNA from 1 species
UUCUGAACCAGUAUGUCUGGGUGGGACCUGAGAUUCUGCAUUUAUAGCAAGCUCCCAAGGGAUCUCAAUCCUACUGGUCCAUGGG